rnacentral:rRNA from 1 species
UACGGAGGGUGCAAGCGUUAAUCGGAAUUACUGGGCGUAAAGCGCACGUAGGUGGUUUUCUAAGUCAGCUGUGAAAUCCCCAGGCUUAACCUGGGAACUGCGUCUGAUACUGGAUGGCUUGAAUUCGGGAGAGGGAUGCAGAAUUCCAGGUGUAGCGGUGAAAUGCGUAGAUAUCUGGAGGAAUACCGGUGGCGAAGGCGGCAUCCUGGACCAAUAUUGACGCUGAGGAGCGAAAGCCAGGGGAGCAAACGGG